CUUGCUUCUUUGCUGGCGACCGGCGCACGGGUGAGUAACACGUAUCCAACCUGCCCUUUACUCGGGGAUAGCCUUUCGAAAGAAAGAUUAAUACCCGAUGGCAUAAUGAUUCCGCAUGGUUUCAUUAUUAAAGGAUUCCGGUAAAGGAUGGGGAUGCGUUCCAUUAGGUUGUUGGUGAGGUAACGGCUCACCAAGCCUUCGAUGGAUAGGGGUUCUGAGAGGAAGGUCCCCCACAUUGGAACUGAGACACGGUCCAAACUCCUACGGGAGGCAGCAUG
rnacentral:rRNA from 1 species